UGAUGGUGAUGGUGGUGAUGGUGAUGGUGAUGGUGGUGGUGGUGAUGGUGACGGUGGUGAUGAUGGUGAUGGUGGUGGUGGUGAUGGUGGUGGUGAUGGUGGUGUGGUGAUGGUGACGGUAAUGGUGGUGGUGGUGAUGGUGAUGAUGGUGAUGGUAAUGGUGGUGAUGGUGGUGAUGGUGGUGAUGGUGAUGGUGGUGAUGGUGAUGGUAAUGGUGGUGAUGGUGAAGGUGGUGAAUGAUGGUGAUGGUGAUGAUGGUGGUGAUGGUGAUGGUGGUGAUGGUGGUGAUGGUGAUGGUGGUGAUGGUGGUGAUGGUGAUGGUGGUGAUG
ensembl:lncRNA